rnacentral:rRNA from 1 species
GACGAACGCUGGCGGCGUGCUUAACACAUGCAAGUCGAGCGGAAAGGCUCCUUCGGGGGUACUCGAGCGGCGAACGGGUGAGUAACACGUGAGUAAUCUGCCCCUGGCUUUGGGAUAGCCACCGGAAACGGUGAUUAAUACCGGAUAUGACCACUACACGCAUGUGUUGGUGGUGGAAAGUUUUUCGGCCAGGGAUGUGCUCGCGGCCUAUCAGCUUGAUGGUGAGGUAAUGGCUCACCAUGGCUUCGACGGGUAGCCGGCCUGAGAGGGUGACCGGUCACACUGGGACUGAGACACGGCCAGACUCCUACGGGAGGCAGCAGUGGGGAAUAUUGGACAAUGGGCGGAAGCCUGAUCCAGCAACGCCGCGUGAGGGAUGACGGCCUUCGGGUUGUAAACCUCUUUCAGUACCGACGAAGCGCAAGUGACGGUAGGUACAGAAGAAGCACCGGCCAACUACGUGCCAGCCGCCGCGGUAAUAC